GAACAGAGGUCACUGGAUUAUUUUACAGAAGCUAACAUUAGCCCAAUUUAUCUUAAUUUAGUUCAGCUUGCAUUUAAGCCUCCGAUAAUGUAGCUUAAUUUGUUUCAUAUAUAUUUGUUUCACUUUAACUUGCUUAAGAUUCAUUUGACAUUAACACAUUUUUCACACUGUAUGUGUAACGGUUAUUAGAUGUACAGAUGAAAUUCCUGCUAAAAUAUGUUUCACAAUUAUCCUGUAAUUGGUGGUUUUUGGCGCCCCCUACUGGUUACCUAUAAAUUGGAUGAGAAACCAAAAAUUCCACACAGUUGGUUCAGCGCUCUGUUGUGAGCCAUAGGUUGACCGGUAGAGAGGCUCACUGCGCCAUAUGUGUUUUAUCAACCACUGAUUACAGGUAAUUAUGUUAUAUUAAAUGUCAGUAAUUUAUUUUGUCAGAUAUGUGUAUCAGUUUGUCAGUUAGUUUGUUAUAUUUAUCAGUUUGUCAGUUGUGUUUGCCAUUCUGUUUGUUUGUUGGUUUCUAUGGCAACAUGACAUGUUUCUUUUCCACUAAUCCCCAGAGAGCUUUUAAUGACUGCUGUUGUAUUUAUUAUUCAUAUUCUUUUAUUUGUAUUAUAAAACUAUACAAUCAAAUGGCCUAGAAAAUAUAAUGUCGGAAUUCACUAUAAUUGUUUGUGAAUUACACAGUUGGUUCAGCGCUCUGUUGUGAGCCAUAGGUUGACCGGUAGAGAGGCUCACUGCGCCAUAUGUGUUUUAUCAACCACUGAUUACAGAUUGCAAUAAAUCACCUAAAAACCAA